rnacentral:rRNA from 1 species
AGGGUUUGAUCCUGGCUCAGAACAAACGCUGGCGGCGUGGCUAAAGCAUGCAAGUCGAACGAGAAAGCCCCUUCGGGGGUGAGUAAAGUGGCGAAAGGGCGAGUAAUAACUGAAUAACCUGCCCCCGGGACAGGGACAACAAUCGGAAACGAUUGCUAAUACCCGAUGAUGCUUUCGAGAGGCUUCUCUUGAAGCCAAAGGUGGGGCCCGCAAGGACCUACUGUCCGAGGAGGGGUUCAGUGACUAUUAGCUAGUUGGUGAGGUAAUGGCUCACCAAGGCUAUGAUGGUUAGGGGGCCUGAGAGGGUUGCCCUCCGCAUUGGAACUGAGAUACUGUCCAGACUCCUACGGGAGGCUGCAGCAACGAAUCAUUCACAAUGGGCGAAAGCCUGAUGAUGCAACGCCGCGUGAGGGAUGAAGGCCUUCGGGUUGUAAACCUCUGUCAGGAGUUAAGAAUAGCACGGAUGCUAAUAUCAUCCGUGUUUGACAAAGGCUCCAGAGGAAGCUCCGGCUAACUUCGUGCCAGCAGCCGCGGUAAGACGAAGGGAGCGAGCGUUGUUCGGAAUCACUGGGCAUAAAGCGUCCGUAGGCGGCGCGGGAAGUGAGUUGUGAAAUCCCCCGGCUUAACCGGGGAAUUGCAUCUCAAACUCCCGUGCUUGAGGAGCAGAGGGGAGAGUGGAACUCUCGGUGGAGCGGUGAAAUGCGUAGAUAUCGAGAGGAACGCCGGUGGCGAAAGCGACUCUCUGGCUGUUUCCUGACGCUGAGGGACGAAAGCUAGGGUAGCGAACGGGAUUAGAUACCCCGGUAGUCCUAGCCGUAAACGAUGGGCACUAGGUAGGGGAGGCUCCCAUACUUUCCCUGCCGAAGCUAAUGUGUUAAGUGCCCCGCCUGGGGAGUACGGCCGCAAGGCUAAAACUCAAAGGAAUUGACGGGGGCUCGCACAAGCGGUGGAGCAUGUUGUUUAAUUCGAAGCAACGCGAAGAACCUUACCUGGGCUUGACAUGCUGGAAGUAGCGAUCUGAAAAGUGAACGAACGGUAUCCAAUCCGUAACCAGCACAGGUGUUGCAUGGCUGUCGUCAGCUCGUGUCGUGAGAUGUUGGGUUAAGUCCCGUAACGAGCGAAACCCCUACCCUUAGUUGCCAGCGGGUCAUGCCGGGGACUCUAGGGGGACUGCCGGUGUUAAACCGGAGGAAGGUGGGGAUGACGUCAAGUCAUCAUGGCCCUUACGCCCAGGGCUACAAACGUGCUACAAUGGCCGGUACAAAGGGACGCGAUACCGCGAGGUGGAGCAAAUCUCAUAAAGCCGGUCUCAGUUCGGAUUGCAGGCUGAAAUUCGCCUGCAUGAAGCUGGAAUCGCUAGUAAUCGUGGGUCAGCAAUACCACGGUGAAUGUGUUCCCGAGCCUUG